GGGUUUUCAAGAAAUAUUAAAGACAACAGUACGACCAAUGGCGUAUUUCAAAUACAGUUUGCCACCAACUGUAGACCAUGGAUACAGCUGAUUUGCUAGCAAGUGCCAUUACACCCCUUCAAAUCAUCAAUGAAUUUGCAGGAUAGUCCAGAAAUUAAAGAUAUCCUUAACAGAAGAAAUUUCAAUGGACAUGGUUGAGCCAAUCACAUAAGGCAUCUCUGUGCAUCCACCAAUCUUCAUCUACUGAGCCUAUUUCGAUUAGUGAUGUCGAGAACCUAAAAUUUUGCGUUGGCGAACGCGAACUUCGGCAAAUGUUCGCGAACCGGGCGAACCGCAAUUGACUUCAAUGGACAGGCGAAUUUUAAAACCCACAGGGACUCUUUCUGGCCGCAAUAGUGAUGGAAAAGUUGUUUCAAGGGGACUAACACCUGGACUGUGGCAUGCCGGAGGGGGAUCCUUUGGCAAAACUCCCAUGGAAAAUUACAUAGUUGAUGCAGAGUCUAGGUUUAAGCCAUAAAGGUCAUAAAUCACCUAAA